UACGUAGGGUGCGAGCGUUGUCCGGAAUUAUUGGGCGUAAAGGGCUCGUAGGCGGUUUGUCGCGUCGGGAGUGAAAACACUGGGCUUAACUCAGUGCUUGCUUCCGAUACGGGCGGACUAGAGGUAUGCAGGGGAGAACGGAAUUCCUGGUGUAGCGGUGAAAUGCGCAGAUAUCAGGAGGAACACCGGUGGCGAAGGCGGUUCUCUGGGCAUUACCUGACGCUGAGGAGCGAAAGUGUGGGGAGCGAACAGG
rnacentral:rRNA from 1 species